CUUCAUUUUAAAGCAGGUCAAGUAUAAGUACUUGAGGUGAACCAAAUCUCCCACUUCAUCAGGUAAGUACCCUAUUGCGCCAAUCAAAAUCAAUACCAACAGAAACUGGAAGCCACAGAGAGUUUGCAGCGGAGAAUAGAAUUCAAUAAUCAAGGAUCGAAUUAGAAGGCUUUUGAAGUUAGGAGGCGGGUCUUGUCCAAACAGAAUAUGUGCAUGGAUGGGCGAAGUAGCCGCUUUAGAAACGAAAUCUUGCUCCUCAACUUCCAAAAGGCAUGAUUUUUCAUAGAAUUCGGAGACUUUUAUUUGACUGUCAAAAAGAUAAAGUUCGUGAAGCAUCUCUAAGCCAAUUAAUUCGUUAAUAAUAUUUUCUGCUGUAUCCUCCAUGAUUUCCCCUGGUUUUUCUGGUAUUAGACCUUGUGCCAACAAAAGCCGAACUACUUCUCCUUUAUCCUUAUAAUAGUUUUUGGAUGCAAUAUAACAAUAAUCUAAGCAAGAUUUGAGAUAAUGAGGAAGCUUCUCAUAAUUAGAUUUGAAAGCUGCUAAAGA
rnacentral:misc_RNA from 1 species